GUCUUUUGAUUCCUGAUUACUUUACUGUAUUUUGCCUGUGAUUAACUCUGAGUGACUUGAUCCCUCUCUGUGUAGUGCAACCCUCAAGGAUUCAACAAUUAUUUUAUACCCUAAAUAUUUGAAUAAUAUAAAUUGCAAGCAAAUAUUAUAUAUUACACAUAUUAAUGAACAAUCUAAAUAAAAGUGAAAAUAUUGAUGAAUACAAUUAAAUACAUAUUACAUCAUGAUUAGAAAAAAAAUGGUAAUUUCUAUGUAAAUUUAAAUUUCAAGAUUAAUAUGUUGCUCCAAUUAAUGCUCUGUUAAUGCAUUAUGAAGUUCAAGAUGAGCAUUCUUGUCCUUAUUUUUAUAGCUAAAAAUUAUUCAAAUUAAUAAUUUUCAUCUAUCAUCACUUCUACUGUUGGAGUUGGACCUUCCAAAGUAUCUUGAAUUGAUGCAUUAAGAUCAUAUUCAUCCUCGAUUAUAAAUUAUAAUAAAAUUAACUUAUAUUUUAAAUAAAUAAAAAUAUUAUUUACGAAAAUUAAUUAAUAAAAAUUAUGAAUUAAUUUAAAUUUAAUAUUAAUAUAAUAAAGAUCCAACAUAAAAAAAAUUACAACUACUAGACUUAACUAAUAGUCUUAUAAUUUAUAAUAUAUUAAAUUAAAAUUAUAUAAUUAAAAUAAUAAUAAAAUAUUCAAAUAGUAAUUUGAAAUUGAUGAAUAGUGCCACUCCAAAUCUGAUGCGCACUAUUCACACUCCAAAUUUAGAGCAAAAAUAGAGUACGGUUGGAGAUGAAAUUAUUUAAAAUCUUAGUCGGUUUAGUUGUUACUUUCUUAAAAUAUCACUUCUUUUUGUCAAAGAAAAUUAGAAUCCAAAAAAAAUAUUACCUUAUAAGAUAAUAGUUAGGGGUGGCUCAACCUCAUAAAACAAUUGACGAUUGUCUUAGGCUCCUAAAUUUGAGGGCCUCAUUUUUUACUAGAAAUAUGUUAUAAAAAAUUGUAAAAUAUAAAUGUUAUUUAUAGAAAUAUAAAAUUUUUUAUAUAAAAGGAAAGGAUUAUUAAAAGAAGUUCAUAUAUUUUGAAUAUUAUGUCUCAAGAAAGAUUAAAUACAUUAAUUAUAUUAUUAUUUAAAAUAAAUUAAUUAGAAAAAAUUAAUUAUAUAAUUUUAAAAAUAAAGUUCAUUAAAAAAGAUUUUUUUUCUUAAAAAUUUAAGGGCUCUGUUUAAUUUUCGCCUUAAGCUACAAAUAUGAUUGAGCUGCCGUUGAUAAUAGUAACUAUAACUAUGUGAUAAUAUGAGAAAUCUAACCCCUUUUCGAGAGGACAUACAAAUUACAUUAAUUAACAAUGUGCUAAAGAGUUAAUUUCUCACAUACUUAUUCAAUUAAUAGUUAUUAUUUUAAAAAAAUUAAAAUUGAGAAAUAAAAUAAGUUUUUAAAAUAAUAAUUCUCAAUUGAGUGACAUGUGAACAAUUCAACUCCAGGAGAGAGAGAUUUUGAGGGAAGGAAGAAGACUUUCUUUUUUUGAUUUCUCAUCCGGUGUUUGAUGCUUGUAUUGAAAUCCCCAUUAAUUUGAAUCGCACGUUGCAGGGCUCAUUAAGGUGGCAGCGCUCCCAACAGAGUUUUCUCCAUAUUCAGAAUUGAACCCUUAACCUCUGAUUAAGAACGGAAUAACCCCAUCUAUUAUAUCACAACCUAUGUUGAUAAGGAAGAAGACUUACUUUCUUAGUGGAUGGUUGUUUAUGACCGACUCUUCUUUUCUUAGUGGAUGGUUGUUUAUGACCGACUCUUCUGCCAUUCUUUUCUCUUUACAAACUCUCUUUGUUUGGUGUACUUUUGUGGGGAAUACAUAUGCUGGAAGGGGUAUUAUAUGUAAGAUAUUUUAAAAUAUGUUGAAUAUUUUAUUAAAAUAUUUUGGAUCAAAGAAAAAAAAAAAUUUGAGUGAAACUCACUUGUCCACGUGACAAUACAAA
rnacentral:lncRNA from 1 species